rnacentral:rRNA from 1 species
AACCUCCGCAAUGUGAGAAAUCGCGACGGGGGGAUCCCAAGUGCCAUUCUUAACGGGAUGGCUUUUCAUUAGUGUAAAGAGCUUUUGGAAUAAGAGCUGGGCAAGACCGGUGCCAGCCGCCGCGGUAACACCGGCAGCUCUAGUGGUAGCAAUUUUUAUUGGGCCUAAAGCGUCCGUAGCCGGUUUAAUAAGUCUCUGGUGAAAUCCUGUAGCUUAACUGUGGGAAUUGCUGGAGAUACUAUUAGACUUGAGACCGGGAGAGGUUAGAGGUACUCCCAGGGUAGAGGUGAAAUUCUGUAAUCCUGGGAGGACCGCCUGUUGCGAAGGCGUCUAACUGGAACGGUUCUGACGGUGAGGGACGAAAGUUAGGGGCGCGAACCGGAUUAGAUACCCGGGUAGUCCUAACUGUAAACGAUGCGGACUUGGUGUUGGGGUGGCUUUGAGCUGCUUCAGUGCCGAAGGGAAGCUGUUAAGUCCGCCGCCUGGGAAGUACGGUCGCAAGACUAAAACUUAAAGGAAUU